AGAGUUUGAUCCUGGCUCAGGAUGAACGCUAGCUACAGGCUUAACACAUGCAAGUCGAGGGGAAACGACAUCGAAAGCUUGCUUUUGAUGGGCGUCGACCGGCGCACGGGUGAGUAACGCGUAUCCAACCUGCCCACCACUUGGGGAUAACCUUGCGAAAGUAAGACUAAUACCCAAUGAUAUCUCUAGAAGACAUCUGAAAGAGAUUAAAGAUUUAUCGGUGAUGGAUGGGGAUGCGUCUGAUUAGCUUGUUGGCGGGGUAACGGCCCACCAAGGCGACGAUCAGUAGGGGUUCUGAGAGGAAGGUCCCCCACAUUGGAACUGAGACACGGUCCAAACUCCUACGGGAGGCAGCAGUGAGGAAUAUUGGUCAAUGGACGAGAGUCUGAACCAGCCAAGUAGCGUGCAGGAUGACGGCCCUAUGGGUUGUAAACUGCUUUUAUAAGGGAAUAAAGUGAGUCUCGUGAGACUUUUUGCAUGUACCUUAUGAAUAAGGACCGGCUAAUUCCGUGCCAGCAGCCGCGGUAAUACGGAAGGUCCGGGCGUUAUCCGGAUUUAUUGGGUUUAAAGGGAGCGUAGGCCGGAGAUUAAGCGUGUUGUGAAAUGUAGACGCUCAACGUCUGCACUGCAGCGCGAACUGGUUUCCUUGAGUACGCACAAAGUGGGCGGAAUUCGUGGUGUAGCGGUGAAAUGCUUAGAUAUCACGAAGAACUCCGAUUGCGAAGGCAGCUCACUGGAGCGCAACUGACGCUGAAGCUCGAAAGUGCGGGUAUCGAACAGGAUUAGAUACCCUGGUAGUCCGCACGGUAAACGAUGGAUGCCCGCUGUUGGUCUGAAUAGGUCAGCGGCCAAGCGAAAGCAUUAAGCAUCCCACCUGGGGAGUACGCCGGCAACGGUGAAACUCAAAGGAAUUGACGGGGGCCCG
rnacentral:rRNA from 1 species